UUAAUUGAAGAGUUUGAUCAUGGCUCAGAUUGAACGCUGGCGGCAGGCCUAACACAUGCAAGUCGAGCGGCAGCACAGAGGAACUUGUUCCUUGGGUGGCGAGCGGCGGACGGGUGAGUAAUGCCUGGGAAAUUGCCCGGUAGAGGGGGAUAACCAUUGGAAACGAUGGCUAAUACCGCAUAACCUCGCAAGAGCAAAGCAGGGGACCUUCGGGCCUUGCGCUACCGGAUAUGCCCAGGUGGGAUUAGCUAGUUGGUGAGGUAAGGGCUCACCAAGGCGACGAUCCCUAGCUGGUCUGAGAGGAUGAUCAGCCACACUGGAACUGAGACACGGUCCAGACUCCUACGGGAGGCAGCAGUGGGGAAUAUUGCACAAUGGGCGAAAGCCUGAUGCAGCCAUGCCGCGUGUAUGAAGAAGGCCUUCGGGUUGUAAAGUACUUUCAGUAGGGAGGAAGGU
rnacentral:rRNA from 1 species